rnacentral:RNase_P_RNA from 1 species
CAGGGAGGUCAGGUGAUCGCGGAUGGACAGGUUCCAUCUGAGGAAAGUCCGCUCUCCAUAGAGCGCGGUGCUGGCUAACCGCCAGGCGGGGUAACCCGACGGAAAGUGCAGCAGAGAAGAGUAUUGCGUGAUGGGCGCGAGUCCAUGAGCGUGAGGGUGAAACGGCGGUGUAAGAGACCACCAGCGCGAGCGGUGACGUUCGCGGCUUGGCAAACCCCACCGGGAGCAAGGCAAACAGGCGCAUUGGGGCUGCUCGUCCCGCAAAAAGCGCCGGGUACGCUGCAUGAGGGGCGGGGCAAUUCGCCUCCCAGAGAGAUGAUCACCCCUUUCGCCUGCGGGUGAAAGCGACAGAAAGCGGCUUAUCGAUCCCCCUGGACG